rnacentral:rRNA from 1 species
AAAUUGAAGAGUUUGAUCAUGGCUCAGAUUGAACGCUGGCGGCAGGCCUAACACAUGCAAGUCGAACGGUAACAGGAAGCAGCUUGCUGCUUUGCUGACGAGUGGCGGACGGGUGAGUAAUGUCUGGGAAACUGCCUGAUGGAGGGGGAUAACUACUGGAAACGGUGGCUAAUACCGCAUAACGUCGCAAGACCAAAGAGGGGGACCUUCGGGCCUCUUGCCAUCAGAUGUGCCCAGAUGGGAUUAGCUUGUUGGUGAGGUAACGGCUCACCAAGGCGACGAUCCCUAGCUGGUCUGAGAGGAUGACCAGCCACACUGGAACUGAGACACGGUCCAGACUCCUACGGGAGGCAGCAGUG